UAGUUUGCCAAGUCAAAAAGCAAUCUCUAUGAUUGGUGCUCCAAAAGAGGGGAAAAAAAACAAUACGUCCAUGUAUAACUCAAAAGAUGAUAUAAGCCACCAAUUAAGUGAUGCAAAAUUUUCUGAAGUAGACUUGUUCUUGUAAAUCAUUAUCAGAGUGCUCCUCCAAUCAAUUGGCCUCUCUUAUUUUACAUUGUAUUAUUUUAAAAUAAUUAUCCACCUCUCUCAUAAAUCCUUUCACUAUGCAAACUUGGCUUUGUUCUCUUUGUGCCCUAAAUAAUAUUAAUUCUACAAGCAUAUUGUUCUUUCUUAUCCACGCACUAUCAUCCAAGCAGAAAGUCAACCCUUAUCUUAGAUUAGAUUAUGACAAUUUUCCAAGCACCAUCAUCUAAGCAGAAGGUCAACCCUUAUCA
rnacentral:lncRNA from 1 species